CUAAGACGACUAGGGUUUUGGAAAUCCUAAUCAAACCCUAGGGCGUAAAAGCCAUUAUUAAGCACAAAUUCUGAAAAGUUUCUAUUUACCUUCAGAAAUUGAUCGUCUCGGAAGCGGAAUUUGGCUGCCUUUUAAUUUGUUUGGAAACGAUGGGCAGGGGAAAGUACAAGAACAAACCCACUGGUCACCGCCAGUUCUCCACUCGUGAAGAUCUUCGUAAGCCCUCGUUUCUAAUCCUUCCCUUUACAAUUGUUUGUUUCAUUCCAACGGAACCAGCUUGAUUCAUGUUUAUUAUCUUCUCAUGAACUCAGAACACGAACAAUGCUUUUAGUUCUAGUAAUGGUGUAUUACUAUUUGGAUUUGAGUUGGAACCAAGCGAAUUUUUAUUGAUAAUGAAAGACCUGAAUUUAAUAAGCCAUUGCAUGCUCUGUGUUAAGAUUUUAGCUAUAUUUGAUGUCAAUUGCAAGUUGAAGCACUCAACCACCUCACAGAUCAUAUAUAUUUUCAUGUAUUUGCUGAAUAAUCCAGAAAACAAUUAUAGUUUUAUUUUAAAUUUCUCAACAUGAUUCCAUGUAAUUGAAACUUAUGGUCGAUAUUCCGGAAUUUCGUUGUUUGUUUUCAUCGCUUUGGGGAUAUUGACUCGCUGUAGAUGAGAUUUUAAUGAAUCGUACAAAUGAGUGUUGCUGCAUAAGAUGAACUCCCUGUGAGUUUUGUUUGAUUUCGGGAUGUUCAAGUUUUAAAACAAUAGAUGGAUCGCCAGUAUUAAACAGCAUUGCUAUACUUUUAACUUCUCAAAUGUGGCAUGAGCAACAAAGGUAAAGUUGUAAAAGGAAAAUAUUUCAGUAUUUCUAAUUUUGUUCUUGAGAUGGAUGGGAGUGAUGAAACUGACUUUGUGGCCUUACUACAUGUGUAGUUCUGUUUCUUUGCCAAAACAAAAUAAUGACUUCCUUUAUGUCUUUUGUAUGUGUAAAAGAGCUAAAAUAGAUAGGAAUUGAAACUGGAUGCCCAUAAUUUUUAUAUUAGAAUUUUCAGUUCAUUAUCAUGAAUCAUGAUAUAUCUCUUAUUUCCUGAGUAAGAUGAUUCCCGCUGCUCCUGUCAAAUUAAGCAUUCUGACUCUCCUUUUUGGUUGCAUUUGUUGUUUAUAAAUUUGCAGUUGCUGGUACCUCCAGCCGUCCCCGUUCUUUUUCUAAG
rnacentral:lncRNA from 1 species